rnacentral:rRNA from 1 species
GGCGAACGCUGGCGGCGUGCCUAAUACAUGCAAGUCGAGCGGACCGGAUUGGGGCUUGCCUUGAUUCGGUCAGCGGCGGACGGGUGAGUAACACGUGGGCAACCUGCCCGCAAGACCGGGAUAACUCCGGGAAACCGGAGCUAAUACCGGAUAACACCGAAGACCGCAUGGUCUUCGGUUGAAAGGCGGCCUUUGGGCUGUCACUUGCGGAUGGGCCCGCGGCGCAUUAGCUAGUUGGUGAGGUAACGGCUCACCAAGGCGACGAUGCGUAGCCGGCCUGAGAGGGUGACCGGCCACACUGGGACUGAGACACGGCCCAGACUCCUACGGGAGGCAGCAGUAGGGAAUCUUCCGCAAUGGGCGAAAGCCUGACGGAGCGACGCCGCGUGAGCGAAGAAGGCCUUCGGGUCGUAAAGCUCUGUUGUGAGGGACGAAGGAGCGUCGUUCGAAGAGGGCGGCGCGGUGACGGUACCUCACGAGAAAGCCCCGGCUAACUACGUG